rnacentral:rRNA from 1 species
AAGACCUCAAAUCAGGUGGGAUUACCCGCUGAACUUAAGCAUAUCAAUAAGCGGAGGAAAAGAAACUAACAAGGAUUCCCCUAGUAACGGCGAGUGAAGAGGGAAAAGCCCAAAUUUGUAAUCUGGCUCUUUUAGAGUCCGAGUUGUAAUUUUGAGAACUGUUUUCUGUGCUGGACCAUUUCUAAGUCUGUUGAAAAGCAGCAUCAUUGAGGGUGAUAAUCCCGUUCAUGAUAUGGACUCCCAGUGCUCUAUGAUACAGUCUCUAAGAGUCGAGUUGUUUGGGAAUGCAGCUCAAAGUGGGUGGUAAAUUCCAUCUAAGGCUAAAUAUAGGUGAGAGACCGAUAGCAAACAAGUACCGUGAGGGAAAGAUGAAAAGAACUUUGGAAAGAGAGUUAACAGUACGUGAAAUUGCUAAAAGGGAAACGAUUGAAGUUAGCCUUGUUAUUGUUAGUUCAGCCCUUUUAGGGUGUAUUCUAAUGAUUAACGACCAACAUCAGUCUUUGGGUAUUGGAUAAGGGUUUUGGAAAUGUAGCAGCCUUGGCUGUGUUAUAGUCCAUUACUUUGAUACAAUGCUUGGGACUGAGGAUCGCAGUAAGCCAUUUAUUUGGUUGAUCAAUUUAUUGGUCUUCUUAC